GCGUCCGUAGCUCAGUUGGUUAGAGCUUCCGACUCUUAAUCGGAAUGUCGUGGGUUCGAGUCCCUCCGGGCGUAC
rnacentral:tRNA from 1 species